rnacentral:rRNA from 1 species
GACGAACGCUGGCGGCGUGCUUAACACAUGCAAGUCGAACGGAAAGGCCCUGCUUUUGUGGGGUGCUCGAGUGGCGAACGGGUGAGUAACACGUGAGUAACCUGCUCUUGACUUUGGGAUAACUUCAGGAAACUGGGGCUAAUACCGGAUCGGAGCUCCUGCUGCAUGGUGGGGGUUGGAAAGUUUCGGCGGUUGGGGAUGGACUCGCGGCUUAUCAGCUUGUUGGUGGGGUAGUGGCUUACCAAGGCUUUGACGGGUAGCCGGCCUGGGAGGGUGACCGGCCACAAUAGUACUGAGAGACGGCCCAGACUCCUACAGGAGGCAGCAGUGGGGAGUAUGGCACAAUGGGCGGGAGCCUGAGGCAGCAGCGCCGCGUGCGGGAUGACGUCCUGCGGGUUGUGAACCGCUUUCGCCUGUUACGAAGCGGGAGUGACGGUAAUGGGUAAAGAAGCACCGGCUAACUACGUG